rnacentral:rRNA from 1 species
GGUACUGGAAGGUCCUCAGGCCGAAAGGGGCUCUGCCCGCCCGAGGAUGGGCCGGCGGCCGAUUAGGUAGUUGGUGGGGUAACGGCCCACCAAGCCGAAGAUCGGUACGGGCCAUGAGAGUGGGAGCCCGGAGAUGGACACUGAGACACGGGUCCAGGCCCUACGGGGCGCAGCAGGCGCGAAACCUCCGCAAUGCGGGCAACCGCGACGGGGGGACCCCCAGUGCCGUGGCAACGCCACGGCUUUUCCGGAGUGUAAAAAGCUCCGGGAAUAAGGGCUGGGCAAGGCCGGUGGCAGCCGCCGCGGUAAUACCGGCGGCCCGAGUGGUGGCCGCUAUUAUUGGGCCUAAAGCGUCCGUAGCCGGGCCCGUAAGUCCCUGGCGAAAUCCCACGGCUCAACCGUGGGGCUUGCUGGGGAUACUGCGGGCCUUGGGACCGGGAGAGGCCGGGGGUACCCCUGGGGUAGGGGUGAAAUCCUAUAAUCCCAGGGGGACCGCCAGUGGCGAAGGCGCCCGGCUGGAACGGGUCCGACGGUGAGGGACGAAGGCCAGGGGAGCGAACCGGAUUAGAUACCCGGGUAGUCCUGGCUGUAAAGGAUGCGGGCUAGGUGUCGGGCGAGCUUCGAGCUCGCCCGGUGCCGAAGGGAAGCCGUUAAGCCCGCCGCCUGGGGAGUACGGCCGC